CCUCCCCGCAUGCGUUCCCUCUGCCCGCCCCGGCCCGCACACGCCCACCUUGCCCCUUCCCCAGAGCCAGACCCGCGUCGCGCCGGGCAGAGCCCCCCGCUGCUGCUGCCGCCGCCGGCUCCUCUCCCCGGGACGGCCCCGACCUCCGCACGUUCCUUCCCCCGCCGCUGAGGAGAGACCCCUCAACAAAGGAGGGGGACCCGUACGCUCGGCCGCUCCGUCCGGAUGCGGUGAGCCCCCCGCUUCGCCUCGGCUCGCCUCGCCUCCGGGGCCGCGUCAGCGCGGGAGGGAAGAAGAGGAGAAGCGGCGGCGCGACCAGCUGCCACCAUGGGCUGCUGCACGGGGCGCUGCACGCUGAUCUUCCUCUGCUCGCUGCAGCUGCUGGCAGCAUUAGAGAGACAGAUCUUUGACUUCCUUGGUUUCCAAUGGGCUCCUAUCCUUGGCAAUUUCCUACAAAUAAUAGUUGUCAUUUUGGGUUUGUUUGGAACCAUCCAGUUUAGGCCUCGAUAUAUAGUCGUGUACACGGUGUGGACUGCCCUGUGGGUCACCUGGAAUGUUUUCAUUAUCUGCUUCUAUUUGGAAGUAGGCGGACUUUCUAAGGAAACUGAUCUCAUGACCUUUAACAUCUCAAUGCACCGCUCUUGGUGGCGGGAACAUGGGCCGGGCUGCAUACGAAGAGUGGUGCGUCCUUCUGCCCCUGGCAUCCUAGAGGAUUACUCCUAUGUCUCCGUGACAGGCUGUAUCAUUGAUUUUCAGUACCUAGAGGUCAUUCACAGCGCUAUCCAAAUACUCCUCUCUCUGAUUGGAUUUGUGUAUGCCUGUUACGUGAUCAGUAUUUUCAUGGAGGAGGAAGACAGCUGGAGAGGAAUUUUUAUGGAUGAGGUCAGUAUUGCAUUAUCGUUCUUUAUCAUUAGCAGAUUGAUUCACUGGUGGCUUCAAAGUGAGUAUUAAUCCUGUUACAGACUCUGUUCCUCUUUUGCACAUUCAUCUUUCUCUAAUAUGAAAUAAUACCAACUUUCUAACAAUGAGAAAACCAUUUUCCUAGUUAUCACAUUUGCUGACAGGUGUGAUAUUUCUUUUCACUCCAUCAUCUAUAAGAAGACCACUGGCCACUGUAAGCUCCAAUUUUAUAAUGCUUUGCAUUCUUAGCUCUAUUCUCAAAGGUGAAAACACAGUCAUAUUAUGUUUUGGGGUUUUGAGAAGACAAUUUGAGUUGGUGACAGAGAAAGUAAUGCCAAAAGAAAUGUUAAGAAAUCAGCAAAAUGACUUGAAGGUGAAGAUAGAGCAGCACAAAAGCAAUAACAAUAUGAGGUGCAAUAGGUUUCCCAUCUGCAGAGAAACAUCCUCAGAGACAAAUGAGUAUUCAUUGAUGCACUUAGGUGUAAUUAAGUAGUAGACUUAGCAGAUAUAUCCACAAUGGCUCUGAAAUAGUGGAUAAUCAGAUAUUCUGGAGUAGAUGAAGGGUACCAUAGAAGGACUUGAUAGUGCAUUUAUUGGGGAUAAAGAAGACUGGAGUGACACCGGUCAGCUGAAGGGUUAUUUUGCUGGUUUCCCCAUCUUGAAAAACUAAAGGCAAGAACAAACAGAAGAGCUUGCUAGCUUGUGCCCAUCCACAGAGAUAAGAGAUUGAAAGGAUAAGACUGAGAAUCUGUUGAUCACAGAAGGAGUUUAUCCAUUUCUGUUUCUGAUCUGUAGACUUGAAUUCAGAGAGGCCCAGUGGGACCACAGACUUACCUGCUGGGAAGAAGAAUGUGGGAUUUUCUGCUGUGAUGUGGAGAGGAAGGAUCCAGCAGUGCUGGAGGCAGCAUUGUCUGCUUAGCAGAGGAAAAAAGGUGAAGAUUAAGAAGAAAAUCUGGUGCAAAAUCUUAAUAAUUACUGUGGAACCCUGUAAUAUUCCCCUUCUAGCUUCCAGUAAUAAGAGUUUAUGCAAAAGGUUGUCUCAAUAAUUUUCUACCACUUUAUCCUGUUUUAACCUGAUUACUGUCUGCUAGUACUUUAUAGAGACAGGGCAGCAAUCACAGUGCCACAUAUGAUUACUAAUGUCUCUUCUCCCUUUCUUAAUUGUCUUGCACACAUUUUCCCUUCUUUAGUCCUCUGAAUAAAUGAGAAGCUAUUCCUGGGAUCCUGCAAAAGAUUCUUCUGCUACAUGACUCGAGGCUUAGGUGCUCAGACUUAGUAUGAAGAAGGCAGAACAGAUAGUAUUGGCUCCACACUGGUAGCUGGAUCAGCCUGACUGGUUCAGUGAAGGAUGUAAGAACAAUGUGUCUCUUGAGAAUGAAAGGCAACUGAAAAAGUAGACACCCUGGGAAAAAAAAAAAAGAAACAACCAUACUUAUCUGAAAGUUUAUAUAAGCUACAAGUGCAAACAUUGGAAAACCUCACAUUUAGACUUUAUGCAUCUAGCACUGACUUAUCAUCAAUCCCCCAUUUUUGCUUCCUGUUUCUUGUUGGCUUUGGCUUCUUUUCCUACUACCUGUCACUUAUGUCACCUGGUUACACCCUCCCCAGUUAUGUACCUUUUCUUAAUGAAUGUGAUUGCAUUAAUAUAUUGCCAUUCAAAGAAAUCUCAGCACAAGGGAAAUAAUUCAAUGCAAAAUAGUAUUUGGAACUUAAGAAAAUCUGUGGUACAUAAAAACACACAUUCAGUCAGCUGCUAGCCUGCCCCUCUCUUGAAAGAGGACAUCUGGAGGUGGCAGCCAUUCAGGCCAUCAGUUUGGGGGCUUGCUUACAUUUAGAAAAAGUGAAGGCAUCAAAGGUAUUCCAGGCCAAGAGGCUGCAGGAUUUACUAAGAAUUGUGCUAUCUGCAUAUGGCCACUCUGUUCAUACCCUGCACCUUCAGACACGUUUAGAAUUUGCCAACUUUGAAAAGGAGAAAUUAGUACUAUACCAAUGGGCUGACAAACUCUGGCAGCUGUUUGCACAGAGCCUGCCAGCAGGUCAGUGGGAUAUUGCCAGAGAAGCUGAAUUCCAGAUGAGAGGAUGGGAAAGGAGACAGAAGGAUUUUUUCAGAGCUCCAGUUCUUCUGCGCUAACUUCAAAGGAAAGCAAAUUUUAACUGGCGUAUGGGAAAUGCACUGGAUUAAUAAUAGUAAAUCAAACCUACAUGUCGUCUGUCUAGAAAAGAAUAGUGAAAUUACUGAUGAUGGUGGAUAUGCUUUCUUCAGCCAGCAGCAUAUUGCACUUUUCUCACUCAGGCAGAUUAUGACAACUGUUCCUCUGAUAUGGCCCAUGAGUGAAUGAGCAUCAUUUUAAUGGACUACCCACGGUGGACAGCCAGCACAGAUUUGCACUUCCAAGCCCAGCAGGUAGUGAACUCUAAAGAAACAUUUCACACUGGCCAUUAAGCAUCCAGCAUGACCACAAAACUGAGGUGACACAAGCAGAGAGCAAUUCCUUGGGAAUAUGGAUCAUGUUUUGAAGCCAGCUGCAGAUAAAAUAACUAGCUUCUGCUGUAACCUGCUAUUAUCUGUGGGGUGCUAAAAAAUCCUCUCCCUAGGAUUUUAAGUUUCUCUCUGCACGACUGUAGUUAAUGACUGGACUCCAUGAGGUGUUCCUUGUUUAGUGACCAAAUAUCCCUACUGCUAACAAGUCGUGGGGUUUGUUGGUUUGGGGGGGGCUGGAGGGGAAGAGAUUGGUUUUGUUUUAAUUUAAUGUAUAGAAUUCUGGAACUGUAUAGAUUUUUUUUGUUGUCGUCGAACUUUCUUCCAGGCAUAUGCAACUUUCUGAAGUUAAUUAUUGUAGUCCCAUGAAUUUAUGACAGAAAUUAUCUAUAGUCCAUUAACCAGGACAGAAAUGAACAAAAUCAAUUAUUUUAUAUCAUCCUUGAAUUGUUUUCCUGUUGAGAAACCUAUACAAACGUUGCUGCUCUUUACUUUUGGCCAAUUAAAGAGGGAUGUAUGCAUCCAAACAGUUCACUCAAUGUAAAGUUUUGAAGUAUUUUAUCAAAGUUGAAUGUCUGAGAUGUCUGUUUGAACUGAAACAUAGAUAGUAAUAAAAAUUCAAAUUUCUGUGUUUAAUGGCCAUUUGUGGUCUUAGUCCUGAAAGUCUGCUAUAUAUAAGUGGUGAAAAUAUCAGGUAAAAACAGACUGAAUUUGUAAAACUAAAAGUAACUCAUUACUCAAAUAACUGAUGAUGAAUCUUCGUGUUAAAGAGCUGUCAGCCAUAAAAUAGAGUGUAUAAUGAAAAAUGGCACAUUCCAUUGUCUUGUGUGAUAGAGCAGCUUCUUGCCUUGAGAAUUAGCUUCGCACAAAUUUUAAGUCAAAAUUCAACUUUAAUACUAUAUAACACAUCUUGGAUUGUCAAAGAGAAAGGUUCAGCUAAACAGAUUUUAGCAGUUCAUUUCAAAACUUGUUGGAUGGUGCUAUUAAAUAUAUGUUCUUUAUCAGACAAAGAUACGUCUAUGUUGUCAAUCAUUAAUACAUAUUGACUUCAUUUCUUUCUCCAAAAGAUUUGUUAGUAGAAGGACUAGUUACUUUAAACUCUCUCCCUGCUUAGAGUAGCAGAUGAUGUUUGUGAUUGCUGAGAGGAAUGAUGUGUGGUUCUGAAGUGGUGAAUUAUCUCAAAAGCAUACUUACUAACUCCUAUCACAUGUCCUCAGUAAAAAAAAAAACCCUUCAAAAAGCAGGAAAAACUGAAGUAUAUAACCCCCAAAAAAAUAUUAUAUCUAUGGACAUGAUUUUUUUCUAAAAAAUUAAUUGGUGUCUGUGUCUUACAUUAGACAUCAUUUUAAUAAAUCAUUUUUUUCUGCAAAUAUGCCUCUUUGUAAGGGUUCUGUCCCAUUAGUGCUUAAGUCAAUGUUGAUGUAUGUUAUUUUAUUUAGUGACAACAUUCUGAAGGAGAGCUGCAACAUUAAGGAAAUACAGUAUAAAGACGAUGUGCAGAUAGGCUAGGGCUGGCACUUGGGCUGGGCUAGCUCCUCAGCGUUAUGUCCCGCUCAGUUUUAAGAAAAAAGUCUUGUGGCUAAGGUGAUGCUGUAUGAUUGCAGUACAUCGAGUUCCAUUUUCAGCCAAGCUACCCCUUUCCUGGACUCAAGAGGAGAGGCAACUAAAAUGAACAGGAACACUUCCACACAUUUUAGCGGAUAUUUCAUCAGCCCUUCAAUCUCUGAGCCUUAUUUCUCCAUCCCCUCAUCAUGGAUGAGUAUUCUUUCUGUCUUUCUUUGUUUACCUAGUGCAUACAUCACCUGGGAAAGAGUUGUUUCUUAUUAGAUGCUUAUAUGGCAAUUAACACAAUGAGGAUCUAAAUUCUGCUCAGGACUUUUGUAUAUAAGCCUAUAUAUAAACAAAUUAAAGCAGUUGCUUUCCAUGUGACCAAAGAAUCCUAAUGUGUUGUGAAUUUCUCAGCUCUGCACAGGUCUGCAAAAAGCCCUUCUAAAUCACCAGAAAAAUAACCUCCUCCAUGAACAUGCUUUUAAGAUUUCUAGGAUAGCUUCGACAUGCAGCUGCUUGAAGCUGCUUAAAAUCUUACCAAAAAUAGUAAGACACAAGACUCAGACUAAAAUAUCUUACUUCACAAUCAUUAUUAUCAUAGAAGGAACUAAAAACUUCUCAAGAGCAGAUAUGCCCAGAUUAUUUCUGACAGAAAUCUUGAGAGAAAGUGAAAGGAUUCUGAAAAGGCUUCCUGUCCCCGCAACUUCAUCCAGAGAAAAUGCUACUGCUUUUUCACAUUCAGUUCUCACCUCUUUUUUCAUAACUCAGUGGCUACACCUUUGGUUUUUGUUGGUGCAUUACAUUCCUGCAAGUCUAUUGGGUUGUAAGAGUUUAGGUGAAAUUAGGCUCAUGAGCUAAGCUGUUUCCACUGCCUAAAUUUCUUCAUAAACACUUCCAAAGGAGUUGAAAUUGAAUUAUGAAAUACAUGCUGAGAUUGCCUUACAGAGAAGCAGCUACAUUACCCCACAGUGGUUUCUGUUUACGUAUUCUGCAGAUCUGCGAAUGUUCCUUUUGCACAUACACUGGCAGGAGUGUGUGUCUGGUCAGUCACCAGCCAGCUUGUCUUGCCAGGUACAGGGCUAAAUGGACCCCAAGGCAGGCAGAGCACAGAGCCUCCUAUAAGCAGUUUCCACAGUAUGGUUACCCACUUGGUUUAUUUCUUGUAGGGAAACCUGUGCAUGCGCUUAUUAUCUUUUUUAACUUAAUUUGUCCAUAUUUCUUUUUAAGUUGACAUAUUUUCAUUUCCAUUUGUUCAUUUCUGGAACU